rnacentral:rRNA from 1 species
AGCUUGCUGCUUCGCUGACGAGUGGCGGACGGGUGAGUAAUGUCUGGGAAACUGCCUGAUGGAGGGGGAUAACUACUGGAAACGGUGGCUAAUACCGCAUAACGUCGCAAGACCAAAGAGGGGGACCUUCGGGCCUCUUGCCAUCAGAUGUGCCCAGAUGGGAUUAGCUUGUUGGUGAGGUAACGGCUCACCAAGGCGACGAUCCCUAGCUGGUCUGAGAGGAUGACCAGCCACACUGGAACUGAGACACGGUCCAGACUCCUACGGGAGGCAGCAGUGGGGAAUAUUGCACAAUGGGCGCAAGCCUGAUGCAGCCAUGCCGCGUGUAUGAAGAAGGCCUUCGGGUUGUAAAGUACUU